UGGGACCAGGAGGGUAAGUGAAUCAUGAUGUGAAACAGAGAAGUGAUUUCAAAACUGAAAGGCCCAGAGACAGACACUAGGUUUGCAGAAAAUCAAAGACAGAAAAUCAUGAAUGUCAGUGACCUGAUUCUAAAUGCACUUUUUCUCCCCUUUCAGACAGGCACAGCAAUGGAGAAUUUGGAUGUCCCAAUCCCAGAUCUUACUGAAGAACAGCGAGACAUUUUUCAGAGAGUAUUUGCUGCUGAUGCCAAGUACUUGGAGAAUCAUGAGAAAAUGAACCAGUCCUUCUGGGAAUCACUUGUAAAAUGCUUGGCCACUACUGACCCACCUAUCCUGAAUACUGAAGAAAAGAACAAUCUCCUUAACAGCUGUGAUGUCCUCCCUGGAGGCUGUGCUGGCUGCCUGAAAGCCAUAGAGGAGAAAGGAGUCAGGGCAAUGGCUCUUCUUUACCUUUUGCUGAAGACUUCCAACCCUUCUGGGUACAGGCAGCUGCCCAGCUCCAAGGGAAAGGAUGAAAAAUUGAAACUCCUGAAGAGAUUGGAAAGGAAUUUUGUGUAUUCGGAAGAGGACAAAAAGUCUGAAAACUCAUCCCAUGAGUCCAUGGAUGAAGAUACACAAGGUAAAGAGGAUUUAUUUUAUUUUCCCUGAUACAUAACUCAGUCUGACUGCAUGUUUGUAAGGGUUUGUACGACAUAGGAGGUACAGAUGCAGUAAUUCUGUAAAGCUCUGAAUAAAAUAAGAAAUUAUGCAAAAGAGAGAACGUAGAAAAUCAUCAGUACCUGAUUCAUG
rnacentral:lncRNA from 12 species